AAAGAUGUAUAAAAUGAACAAAAGAAAUAAGCACGAACCUAAACAGAACAUUUUCUUUGCUUUGGCUCUGGCUCUGGCCAUCUUUGAUCUGGGUGAGAGAAACGCGUAUCGAUUUGGUUCAUGAUCAUGGCUCAUACUCUUCCCACCACUUACCAAUUAGAUUUGGAGAUGUUGUGUUGAGGUUUCAUCGAUACGGGUCGCUCUCACCUAGACUAAAGUUGCCCAAAUUUUUAUAACAUUGUUCAUCAAAAGCUGCUAAGUUUCUCAUAAGUUCCUGCCUCUUCAGUCUCACCUUUCUUAAUUCGUCUGUGACAGCGUGUAAAGUUGGGAGGCAGAUUCCAAUAUGAUGAUAUACAAAGUAUUUGAUGAAACACCAGUAUGAAGCAAAUGUGUUAGCCCCUUUCAGCAGUUUCUUCUUACUAUGUUUUCGGAUAUUGAGAUCUACAAACAAUAAUGCUGAGGAUAUGAAAGUGAGACAAAAAAAAAAUGGAACAUUCAAGCAAGGAACUAGGGAUGAUUGUGGCACAAGAUAUGACACAAUACUAACAGAACAAACUGGGAAGAGUCAAGAGGACUUGUGUCUACGCAUCUUACUGAAGUCCAUAUUGUAUAUUGUUAUGAACACAAAGCGAAAUAUUCUUUCUUUUAAAAAGAAUAUCACUUGUCCUUUACAUAAAACGACAUGAGCCUAUUUUUAAGAGAAUUUUUCAUUAUUCA